rnacentral:rRNA from 1 species
AUACGGAGGGUGCAAGCGUUAUCCGGAUUCAUUGGGUUUAAAGGGUACGUAGGCGGAUAGAUAAGUUAGUGGUGAAAUCCCGAAGCUCAACUUCGGAACUGCCAUUAAAACUGUCUAUCUUGAAUUUGGUUGAAGUGGGCGGAAUAUGACAUGUAGCGGUGAAAUGCAUAGAUAUGUCAUGGAACACCGAUAGUGAAGACAGCUCACUAAGCCAAUAUUGACGCUGAGGUACGAAAGCAUGGGUAGCGAACAGGAUUAGAAACCCCUGUAGUCC